CUCUGUGCUAUUCUACUUUAGCGUGCCCCCAGCGGGGCGAGGCCCUCGGCCCGAGCCAUAAAAAACAGCCGUCUCUUCCUGAAAGGGAAAAGGGGGGAUCUGGGAGCGAGGUGCCGACACGGAAACGCGAGCGUAGAGGACAUCGGCCGACAGCGCGGGAAAACAGAGCGCCAGUUCACGCUUCAGUUCCCUCAUCUAGAGCGGGACGGAGGAAUGGAUUUAUGGAGCUUCUACUGACUGUUAAGAGAGAUUUCCCAACUCCAUACUCCGUCCACACGACUUCAAAGUGAUUUAUCAACUCCGGGCUGUCAGGACAGUUAAUGCUGAACUGGUGAUGUAGAACCGAGCGUCCAAUCAGGCAUGGAACAUGUGGAGCAGCAGAACACAGAGGAACUUCAUUCAUUACCAAACAAAACGCCGCUUUCAAUUACAGCCCAAACUCACGCGCCUCCAAUUUACAGCCCAAUAACUCCUGACUGCAGCAAGAGAGCUCCAUUACAGGCGAAGGGAAGGGCGUGAGCGGCUGCGGUGAGGGACUGACGGCGCCUCGCUGACUCUGGAUUUAAUAGGUGCUGUAAUGAGGCCUGUGGAGAGAGGGGGGCUUCUCCAGAGAGGAGGAGGAGGAGGAGGAGGAGGAUGCACACCAGAGCAGGAUGCUAAAAGUGGAGAGAUGCCGGAGAUGAGUUUGCAGGGACUCCAGCAGAGAAUCUCAGCCUUCAUCUCGUCUUGCCAUUUCCCCGAGUCGGGACGGUGUCCAUUUUGUGCAGAAGCCUCAUCCUACGCUAACACACUCCCGCGGGACAGAGGUGGAGGGGUAUGACCUGCCUCACACCCCUCUUCUAUCAUUUAAUGUGUUUUCUUCCUUUUUAUGAUGUUUUACACUGUAAAUUUAAUAUUGAAGACACAUACAGAAUUAUUUCCUAAAAAAAAAAAAAAAAAAAACAACUAUUAAAUUAAUAUUACUUCAGCUCACCUCCUGCUCAGAUGCCAGUUUUGCACAUCUCUGCAUUUAUGAAGUAGAGUCACCUGGAAUUCAGGCUUUCAGUUAACAGCUGUGCUGAACUCAUCAAGAGUUAAUUACUUGAAUUUCUUGUCUCUUAAUAAAGUGUUUGAGAGCAUCAGUUAAAGUAAAGUAGUGAAGAGGUAGAGUUACAGGUAUACAGUGAAUAGUGAAUAUUUGAGUAAUGUUCUAAUCUACUCAACUAAGAAAAAAAUAAAGGUCAGUCUAUCCGAAAAGAAAGUUUCAAGAACUUUAAAAAAGUAUCGAGUAGUGCUGUCACUGCAAAGACCAUUCAAACAUUACAAUGAUGAAACUGGCACUCAUCAGGACCACUUUAAGAGUUACCAGCCUCAGAAACCGCAAGUUAACAGCUCC